UUAGGUUUCGACGGGGGUAUGGAGCCAAGAGUAGCGAGUCGUGGUUGGUUUGGUACCACGUAAAAAAGCCAAGCAUAAAGAUAAACGCUGAAGAAAAUUACGCUUUAGCUGCGUAAGAACACGCAGCUCCCUUCCUCUAAUAGUCCCGCCUAUUAGAGUAUAAGGGCCAUCAUUUGCGGGGAACUGCUGCAGGGGAGCUCCGACCUGUAGUAGAAUACUCGGAGAUAGUUUUAUAUGAAGCCUGUUGUUGGGCGGCAUAUAAGGCGAAUGUAAAUCAGCAACUGCACUCGGAGAAGCUCUUGGUGAAGUGCUUUCGGACGUGGGUUCGAUUCGU
rnacentral:tmRNA from 1 species